rnacentral:rRNA from 1 species
AUUGAACGCUGGCGGCAUGCUCUACACAUGCAAGUCGAACGGUAACAGGGAGCUUGCUCCGCUGACGAGUGGCGAACGGGUGAGUAAUGCGUCGGAACGUGCCGAGCAGUGGGGGAUAACGCAUCGAAAGGUGUGCUAAUACCGCAUACGAACUGAGGGUGAAAGUGGGGGACCUUCGGGCCUCACGCUAUUCGAGCGGCCGACGUCUGAUUAGCUAGUUGGUGAGGUAAAGGCUCACCAAGGCGACGAUCAGUAGCGGGUCUGAGAGGAUGAUCCGCCACACUGGGACUGAGACACGGCCCAGACUCCUACGGGAGGCGGCAGUGGGGAAUUUUGGACAAUGGGCGCAAGCCUGAUCCAGCCAUGCCGCGUGUCUGAAGAAGGCCUUCGGGUUGUAAAGGACUUUUGUCCGGGAGCAAAUGCUGGUGGCUAACAUCCACCGGAGCUGAGAGUACCGGAAGAAUAAGCACCGGCUAACUACGUGCCAGCAGCCGCCGUAACAC